rnacentral:rRNA from 1 species
UCUGGGAUUAGAUACCCUGUUAUUUAAAAUGUAAUUAAAAAUACUUGAGUAUUAAUAGUUAUGGUCUUUAAACUUAAAAAAUUUGGCGGUAUUUUAGUCUAUUCAGAGGAACCUGUUUUAUAAUCGAUAAUCCACGAUGUACCUCACUUAAAUUUGUUAAUCAGUUUAUAUACCGUCGUUAUAGAAUAUUUUAUAAGAAAAAUAAUUUUCAAUAAUUAAGAUAAUAAUAUAUGUCAGAUCAAGGUGUAGCUUAUAUUUAAGUAAUAAUGGGUUACAAUAAAAGUAUUUUUGGAUAUAAAGAUGAAAAAUUUAUUGAAAAUGGAUUUGAUAGUAAAAUUAAAUAGAUAAUUGAUUUGAUUUUAGCUCUAAAAUGUGUACAAAUCGCCCG